rnacentral:lncRNA from 1 species
UAGUAUUCAAGGGGUAAGGAUUGACAAAGUUUAAGUUUUUUCAAAAUUAGAGUUUGGAUUGCAUGGAGAGAGAGAUUAGAAUCAACAGAAAAAUUGGCAGAGGAUUCACUAAUAAUAGACCUUGAAUUAAGAGCAGUACAUCAAGAUUAAAGUAGGAUUUUGUUGCGUGGAGAAAUUUAGUUACGGGUAUUACCAAGUAGGAAAAAUUUCCAACUUUUGUAUGGAGUUAAGACAGAAAGUUGGCUACAGUUUACAUGUUCAUGUUCUUAAAACCUAAAUUCUCAAUGUAUAAUAUA